rnacentral:rRNA from 1 species
UACGUAGGUGGCAAGCGUUGUCCGGAUUUACUGGGCGUAAAGAGCGCGCAGGCGGUUGGAUCAGUCGAAUGUGAAAGCCCCCGGCUCAACUGGGGAGGGUCAUUCGAUACUGUCCGACUUGAGGAAUGCAGAGGUUUGUGGAAUUCCUGGUGUAACGGUGAAAUGUGUUGAUAUCAGGAGGAACACCCAUGGCGAAGGCAGCAAACUGGGCAUUAUCUGACGCUGAGGCGCGAAAGCGUGGGUAGCAAACAGG